GGAAGUUAAGAAACUGUUUUUUAAUUUUUAACUAAAAAAGCUAAAAACCGGUUCUUAAAGUCCUUAUUUAAGAACCGGUUCUUAGUUUUUUUAGUUAAAAGUUAAGAAACAGUUUCUUAACUUCC
rnacentral:pre_miRNA from 1 species